GGGAUCGGGAUUGGGAUCGGAGUUUGGGAUUGGGAUUGGGAGUUUGGGAUUGGGAGUUUGGGAUCGGGAGUUUGGGAUUGGGAGUUUGGGAUCGGGAGUUUGGGAUCGGGAUUGGGUGUUUGGGAUGGGGAUUGGGAUCGGGAGUUUGGGAUCGGGAGUUUGGGAUCAAGUGGGUUCUGGGGCUGGAUUUGGGAUUGCGUUCAAGAUUGGGUCUGGAAUUGGAUCAGGGCUUGGAUUCAGAUUCAGUUUGGGAUUGGGCUUGGGACUGGAUUUGGGAUUCAACCUGGGGUCGGAUUUGGGAUUGGGUUUGGAAUUGGAUCUGGGGUUGGAUCUGGGAUUGGGUUUGGGAUUGGGUUCAGAAUUGGGUUUUGGUUCAGAAUUGGGUUCGGGACUGGAUUUGGGAUUGGAUCUGGUGUUGGAUUCAGAUUCAGUUUGGGAUUGGAUCUGGGGUUGGGUCUGGGAUUGGAUUUGGGAUUGGAUUUGGGAUUGGAUUCAGGGAUUGGAUUCAGGGUUGGAUAUGGGAUUGAGUUUGGGACUGGAUUUGGGUUUGGGAAUGGAUUCAGAACUGGAUUUGGGAUUGGAUUUAGGACUGGAUUUGGGACUGGAUUGGGUUUGGCUCUGUCUCCAUCCAGGACAUCCCAAGGGAAUUCAGCAGCUGGAGCCAUCCCAGCGCACCGGGAACCGGAUCCAAGACAAAAAAAAAAAACCGGGAAGGGAAAAACUCCGGAGCUACUUGAGGGAAAUAUUUUUUCAUGGAAGGAAGGAUUUAUAGGGCUGGGACUGCUCUGCAGCAGAGCAACAUCUGGAACAGAUCCGUUAUCCCGUCCGAACACCGGCGAGGGGAGCCAGGGAUAAAUCCCGGCUGUCGGAACGGGGAUCCCACACACGAAGGGAAUCCGGGAUUCGGGAUUGCCCUCCCAAAUUUCCCCCAUCGGGAUUUCUCCCUUUCCCCUGGGAUUUGGGGGGGGCGGUGGGAGAACCCCAAGGAUUCCAGGGAAGCCUCUGGAAUGCUGGAAAUUUGGGAAUGGCGAUGGAAAACGGAUCCCAAAUAUGGGGAUGGCCCUGGAAAACAUUCCCUGGCAUCUGGAGCAUCCUUGGAUUCAUGGCUGGAUGGGAUGGGACCAUCCCAGAGG
rnacentral:lncRNA from 1 species